AACUGUAAGCGGUGGAUCACUCGGCUCAUGGGUCGAUGAAGAACGCAGCUAACUGUGCGUCAUCGAGGUAGCGUAAACAAACCACAUGGACAACCACAACAUGGGCUUCAGGACUUUCCAGCUCAAGGAAAACCGAGCUGGUAAUUAAGGGGCCACAUUCAACAACGCCAGUUUA
rnacentral:rRNA from 1 species